GUCCAGUAUAGGAGACACCAGCCACAUGUGGCUAUUUAAAUUUAAAUUCAUUAAAAUGAAAUAGAAUUAAACAUUCAGUUUCCCGGUUGCAUUUGUCACAGGUCAAACGCUCAGAGCCAUAUGUGGCUCGAGGCUGCCAUGUUGCACAGUGCAAAUCCACAGAGCGUUUCAUCCAAUGGUAUUGCCCUUGAAGGUGGGCAUUCCACAGCCCGCGGCCCUGACGAGGGAAAUGCACAGAGCCUCCUCCUGACCCGCAGCGCACAUGUGAGGAUUCCAAAUAAAGUUGCAGACUCCAUGUUCUUAGGGGAAGAGAGCGUAACUCCCGCUGCUUAAGUGAAGCCCAUGCAUAGUGACUUUGCUCCAGUGAGUCUGGAAAGCGGGACAAGGGAGUAACUUUCCUGUGGAGAAACCUGGCAGAGGCCACGACCGCCAGGUGAGGCGGGUGAUUUAGUGAUGAGUCAUUGACAGAAGGCUCCUUGGCAGGGUGUAAUAAAAAUAGCACUUUACUUCUAUGGUCUUCUUCCCCAAAUUCCAUAAUCCCAAUCAGAUCAUCAGAAAAACCCCAACUGAGAGAAAUUCUACAGCAUGCCUGACCAUUACUCUUCAAAACUAUCCCAGUCAUCGAAAACAAGGAAAAUCUGAGAAACUGCCAGCAGAGGGGGGUCCAGGGAGAUGUGACAGCUGCAUGCACAGCGGCGUCCCGGAU
rnacentral:lncRNA from 1 species